UUGAAUUCCCUGUAUUUGAAGCAGAGGAAGAUGAUGUUGAAGGGGAUUCCUGACGAGAUUACCCGCCUUCUUGAGUAUGAAAAGAAGAUCAUUCAGCUGUAUCUUGAGAAUCAGCAGAACAGUUAAACUGGGGCAUUACAAAUGUAAUGUAAAAAAAAAAGAGAAAGAGGGUGAAAAUAAAAGAAGAAAAAAUCAAAAAAUCAAAAAAAAAAUUAAAGAAA
rnacentral:lncRNA from 1 species